rnacentral:lncRNA from 1 species
GGAGAAGAAAAGGGGUACUGCUCUGGAAAAGAGAGAGAAAGAGAGAAAAAAAAGGAAGCAAGAAAAAGAAAAAAAGAAAAGCAAGCAAGCUGAAUGUCUUCCUUCUUCCACCUCCUUUGUUCCUGCUGUACUGCCACUGCCCAAUAUAUAAUAUUUCAGGAAACAUUGCUUUAUGAAGGGCUCCAUAACAGUUAAUGAAGGAGAGCCAAGAUACCCACCUUGGAGCCCAAGCUGAGGGGUAUUUUCGAUGUGUAUCUUGUGGAACCAGUCCUGCCAAUCUCAUCCAGUGACUAAAAAUGCCUAACCUCCUGGGAAUGGAGGUCAAGCAAGUUUCAGCCUCAUUUUACACAACACCUAUUCAAGAUGGAGGUGCUCUGGUUCAAAUCACUCUGACAAGCAGUCACUACCCCUGCCCCAAAGCCAAGCAUUGUAGGGAAUCUUAUCUGGUAACAAAGAGUUGAUCUGAAGUGAUGUUUGAAAAUGAGUGGGGUGGUUGUUUGUUGAAUCAGUGAGACAAUGAGUAGGGAAUGAGGGAGACUGUCAUUUAAUUGGUAAAGACCAGAGGUGCUAAUUGUUCUGCAAUUCCAUAGCAUUUCACUCAGCAUUCCACAAAAUCAAGCAUGCUCCCUCCCGAAAUAUUCACAUCGCCCCACUGAGAAACUGCCCCAGAGCACCCUGGGGAAGCUCAGCUUUGCAUUCCCACUUCUAUUAGACAGCCUUUGUGACACACACACCUUGUCCCUGUGAACAUGGUGAAUGGAAAUUAUCUUCUCCACAUUAACUUUGAAUACAUGGGCCAAGGAAAUGGCCCUAGGUGUAUACCAGUCCUGCUUCUUUCUCACUCCUUGGCUAGAGAAAGAAAGAAUUUAGCAAAUUCAUCAUUAGUCAAGAAUAAGGGGCUGCAUUUUGUUUUAAAAAUCCUCUCCUUCCAUUUUCAAUUCUAGUACAGGCCAUAUCAGAAUUAUAAUUAAUGAAAUAAAUGUUAAUUCAAAUUAUCUAUAUUUAAUGAGUUCAUGAUUCAUUAACUUGAAAAGAAUCCAUUUGUUUGCAUAAAAUGAAUCUCAAUGAUGGAACUAUAUAAUUAUUUAGUAUGAAUGAUGAUAGUGCACUUAAUAAAAUUAGAACAAUUUUUUGGUUAAUGUUACAGAUUAGGAUUAAUUAAUACUAGUUAUAUGUAAUUAAUACUAGUUAUAUGUAAUAGUUUUAUAUAUUAUAUAUGUAAAUUAUACUAUUAAAAUAAUUAAAAUCUUCCAAUGUGAUUCUAAUAAAA